CGUUCGUCCAGCGCCGAUUUGAUCCUCAGCUUGCGGGCGCUUCUAAAAAUGCAGCUAAAGAGACCCGCUAUCCCUGCAU
rnacentral:ncRNA from 2 species